GAUGAAGAACGUAGUGAAAUGCGAUAAGUAAUGUGAAUUGCAGAAUUCAGUGAAUCAUCGAAUCUUUGAACGCACAUUGCGCCCCUUGGUAUUCCGAGGGGCAUGCCUAUUCGAGCGUCAUUAUCACCCCUCAAGCUCCGGCUUGGUGUUGAGGCCUGCUGUAAAGGCACCCUCUAAAAUCAGUGGCAGUGCUGUCAGGCUCUAAGCGUAGUAAUUCUCUCGCUACAGGGUCCCGGUGGACACUCGCCAGAACCCCCCCAUUUUUUAAUGAUUGACCUCGGAUUAGGUAGGGAUACCCGCUGAACUUAAGCAUAUCAAUAAGCGGAGGA
rnacentral:misc_RNA from 1 species